rnacentral:rRNA from 1 species
UACGGAGGGUGCGAGCGUUAUCCGGAUUCACUGGGUUUAAAGGGUGCGUAGGUGGGUCUGUAAGUCAGUGGUGAAAUCUCCGGGCUUAACCUGGAAACUGCCAUUGAUACUAUAGGUCUUGAAUUUUCUGGAGGUAAGCGGAAUAUGUCAUGUAGCGGUGAAAUGCUUAGAUAUGACAUAGAACACCAAUUGCGAAGGCAGCUUGCUACAGGAAUAUUGACACUGAGGCACGAAAGCGUGGGUAGCGAACAGG